GCCUGGGUGGCUCAGUCGGUUGAGCAUCUGACUUCGGCUUAGGUCAUGAUCUCGUGGUCUGUGAGUUCAAGCCCCGCGUCGGGCU
rnacentral:tRNA from 1 species